GGAGGUUACUGCUAUCGGUGUUCGCCUAACCCAUGCGAGUCAUAUGUUCUUCGUGAACAUGGCGUACUGCUCAGUAACACGUGAAUAACCUGCCCUUGGGACCGGCAUAACCCCGGGAAACUGGGGAUAAUUCCGGAUACCGCAUAUAUGCUGGAAUGCUUUAUGCGUGAAAUGGAUUCGUCUGCCCAAGGAUGGGUCUGCGGCCUAUCAGGUAGUAGUGGGUGUAAUGUACCUACUACCCUACAACGGGUACGGGUUGUGAAAGCAAAAGCCCGGAAAUGGAUUCUGAAACAUGAAUCCAGGCCCUACGGGGCGCACCAC
rnacentral:rRNA from 1 species